AUGAUGCAGUACACUAACCUUGAUCAUGUAGUCCGCAUGCGCCUAAACAAAUUGAGGGGUGCCCAUGUGAAACCACAACACAAGUUAAAUUUCAAGGUACACACGGUGGUGGAUAAAAAACAAAAAAAGAAACCAAAUAAAAAAAACAGUGUGGUUUACUCGCAUUGUCCUUGCGGUUCACUCGCCUUGUCCUCGCAGUGCGGAAGAAUUUCUAAAAUUAAAAGGAAAACAAAAAAUGUGUGUGGUUCAUUUUGCAGUGCAAUUGGUCCUCGGAUGUGGUUCACUUUUGAGAGUGGUGCUGUUCACUUGUGCCCAUUAUGA
rnacentral:rRNA from 1 species